rnacentral:rRNA from 2 species
GGGUUGUGAGGUUAAGCGACUAAGCGUACACGGUGGAUGCCCUGGCAGUCAGAGGCGAUGAAGGGCGUGCUAAUCUGCGAUAAGCGCCGGUAAGGUGAUAUGAACCGUUAUAACCGGCGAUACCCGAAUGGGGAAACCCAGUGUGAUUCGUCACACUAUCAUUAACUGAAUCCAUAGGUUAAUGAGGCGAACCGGGGGAACUGAAACAUCUAAGUACCCCGAGGAAAAGAAAUCAACCGAGAUUCCCCCAGUAGCGGCGAGCGAACGGGGAGGAGCCCAGAGCCUGAAUCAGCAUGUGUGUUAGUGGAAGCGUCUGGAAAGGCGCGCGAUACAGGGUGACAGCCCCGUACACAAAAGCGCAUGUGCUGUGAGCUCGAUGAGUAGGGCGGGACACGUGGUAUCCUGUCUGAAUAUGGGGGGACCAUCCUCCAAGGCUAAAUACUCCUGACUGACCGAUAGUGAACCAGUACCGUGAGGGAAAGGCGAAAAGAACCCCGGCGAGGGGAGUGAAAAAGAACCUGAAACCGUGUACGUACAAGCAGUGGGAGCACCCUUUGGGGUGUGACUGCGUACCUUUUGUAUAAUGGGUCAGCGACUUAUAUUCUGUAGCAAGGUUAACCGUAUAGGGGAGCCGAAGGGAAACCGAGUCUUAACCGGGCGUUAAGUUGCAGGGUAUAGACCCGAAACCCGGUGAUCUAGCCAUGGGCAGGUUGAAGGUUGGGUAACACUAACUGGAGGACCGAACCGACUAAUGUUGAAAAAUUAGCGGAUGACCUGUGGCUGGGGGUGAAAGGCCAAUCAAACCGGGAGAUAGCUGGUUCUCCCCGAAAGCUAUUUAGGUAGCGCCUCGUGAAUUCAUCUCCGGGGGUAGAGCACUGUUUCGGCUAGGGGGCCAUCCCGGCUUACCAACCCGAUGCAAACUGCGAAUACCGGAGAAUGUUAUCACGGGAGACACACGGCGGGUGCUAACGUCCGUCGUGAAGAGGGAAACAACCCAGACCGCCAGCUAAGGUCCCAAAGUCAUGGUUAAGUGGGAAACGAUGUGGGAAGGCCCAGACAGCCAGGAUGUUGGCUUAGAAGCAGCCAUCAUUUAAAGAAAGCGUAAUAGCUCACUGGUCGAGUCGGCCUGCGCGGAAGAUGUAACGGGGCUAAACCAUGCACCGAAGCUGCGGCAGCGAACGUAUCACUUAAAGCGAUUCAGCGGGUUACGAUUGACGGAGCGAAGCGACGUCAAAGCGUAUACAAAGUCGAGUCGGUUUAAGGAUACGUUCGUUGGGUAGGGGAGCGUUCUGUAAGCCUGUGAAGGUGUGUCGUGAGGCAUGCUGGAGGUAUCAGAAGUGCGAAUGCUGACAUAAGUAACGAUAAAGCGGGUGAAAAGCCCGCUCGCCGGAAGACCAAGGGUUCCUGUCCAACGUUAAUCGGGGCAGGGUGAGUCGACCCCUAAGGCGAGGCCGAAAGGCGUAGUCGAUGGGAAACGGGUUAAUAUUCCCGUACUUGGUGUUACUGCGAAGGGGGGACGGAGAAGGCUAUGUUGGCCGGGCGACGGUUGUCCCGGUUUAAGCGUGUAGGUGUGUGUUCCAGGUAAAUCCGGUUCACUUUAACACUGAGGCGUGA